rnacentral:rRNA from 1 species
UGCCGGCCUGCUAUACAUGCAAGUCGAGCGCAGGAAGUUAUCUGAUCCUCUUUUAGAGGUGACGAUAAUGGAAUGAGCGGCGGACGGGUGAGUAACACGUAGGCAACCUGCCUGUAAGACUGGGAUAACUCGUGGAAACGCGAGCUAAUACCGGAUAACACUUUUCAUCUCCUGAUGAGAAGUUGAAAGGCGGCUUUUGCUGUCACUUACAGAUGGGCCUGCGGCGCAUUAGCUAGUUGGUAAGGUAAUGGCUUACCAAGGCGACGAUGCGUAGCCGACCUGAGAGGGUGAUCGGCCACACUGGGACUGAGACACGGCCCAGACUCCUACGGGAGGCAGCAGUAGGGAAUCUUCCGCAAUGGACGAAAGUCUGACGGAGCAACGCCGCGUGAGUGAUGAAGGUUUUCGGAUCGUAAAACUCUGUUGUUAGGGAAGAACAAGUGCCAUAGUAACUGAUGGCACCUUGACGGUACCUAACCAGAAAGCCACGGCUAACUACGUGCCAGCAGCCGCGGUAAUACGUAGGUGGCAAGCGUUGUCCGGAAUUAUUGGGCGUAAAGCGCUCGCAGGCGGUUCUUUAAGUCUGAUGUGAAAUCUUACGGCUCAACCGUAAACGUGCAUUGGAAACUGGGGAACUUGAGUGCAGAAGAGGAGAGUGGAAUUCCACGUGUAGCGGUGAAAUGCGUAGAGAUGUGGAGGAACACCAGUGGCGAAGGCGACUCUCUGGUCUGUAACUGACGCUGAGGAGCGAAAGCGUGGGGAGCGAACAGGAUUAGAUACCCUGGUAGUCCACGCCGUAA